UGAUGAGGAGAUGCUACGGCAUUGAAGCAGUCUAUGUCAGACUUCCAAGAAAAGCUCGCACUGUCGUAAAUAAAUAAUGCCUGUACCAUAACCGACACAGGUGGGUAGGUAGAGUAAACUAAGGGGCGCGAGCUAACUCUCUCUAAGGAACUCGGCAAAAUGACUCCGUAACUUCGGGAGAAGGAGUGCCUUAUAUUUAAGGUUGCAAUAACAAGAUCCAAGCAACUGUUUACCAAAAACACAGGUCUCCGCUAAGUCGUAAGACGAUGUAUGGGGGCUGACGCCUGCCCAGUGCCAGAAGGUUAAAGAAGUUGGUUAGCAUUCGCGAAGCUGGUAACUGAAGCCCUGGUGAACGGCGGCCGUAAAAUAACGGUCCUAAGGUAGCGAAAUUCCUUGUCGGGUAAGUUCCGACCUGCACGAAAGGCGUAAUGAUUUGGAUACUGUCUCGGAGAGGGGCUCGGUGAAAUAGACUUGUCUGUGAAGAUGCGGACUACCUGCACCUGGACAGAAAGACCCUAUGAAGCUUUACUGUAACUUGAAAUUGAAAUUGGACUUUAUUUGCGCAGUAUAGGUGGGAGGCGUUGAUUUUAUUCUUGCGGGAAUUUAGGAGCCAUCAGUGAGAUACCACUCUGGUAAUGUUAGAUUUCUAACUUUGUAUCAUGAUCUGGUCAAAGAACAGUUUCAGGCGGGCAGUUUGACUGGGGCGGUCGCCUCCCAAAUGGUAACGGAGGCGUACAAAGGUUUCCUCUGAACGUGUAAAAUCGUAUCUAGAGUGUAAAGGCAUAAGGAAGCUUGACUGUGAGACCUACAAGUCGAGCAGGGACGAAAGUCGGUCUUAGUGAUCUGACGGUGCUGAGUGGAAAGGCCGUCACUCAACGGAUAAAAGUUACUCUGGGAUAACCGGCUGAUCUCCCCCAAGAGUUCACAUCGACGGGGAGGUUUGGCACCUCGAUGUCGGCUCAUCGCAUCCUGGGGCGGUAGUACGUCCCAAGGGUUGGGCUGUUCGCCCAUGAAAGCGGUACGCGGGCUGGGUUCAGAACGUCGUGAGACAGUUCGGUCCAUAUCCGGUGUAGGCGUUAGAAUAUUGAGAGGAGCCUUCUUUAGUACGAGAGGACCGAGAAGGACAUACCUCUGGUGUACCAGUUAUCGUGCCAACGGUAAACGCUGGGUAGCUAUGUAUGGAGAGGAUAACCGCUGAAAGCAUCUAAGUGGGAAGCCCACCUCAAGAUAAGUAUUCUCAUCACGGAAGUGAGUAAGGUCACGGUAAGACUAACCGUUUGAUAGGCAUUAAGUGGAAAUGUAGUAAUAUACGAGCUGAGAUGUCCUAACAGACCGAGGACUU
rnacentral:rRNA from 1 species